rnacentral:tRNA from 1 species
GGGGAUUUAGCUCAGUGGUAGAGCCCUUGCCUAGUAAGCGCAAGGCCCUGGGUUCGAUCCCCAGCUCCG